UACGUAGGGGGCAAGCGUUGUCCGGAUUUAUUGGGCGUAAAGAGCGCGUAGGCGGCCAGAUAAGUCCGGUGUGAAAGUCAAAGGCUCAACCUUUGAAUGCCGCUGGAAACUGUCUGGCUAGAGUCCGGGAGGGGCGAGUGGAAUUCCUGGUGUAGCGGUGAAAUGCGCAGAUAUCAGGAAGAACACCCGUGGCGAAGGCGGCUCUCUGGGACGGUACUGACGCUGAGGCACGAAAGCGUGGGGAGCAAACAGG
rnacentral:rRNA from 1 species